rnacentral:rRNA from 1 species
CCUACGGGAGGCAGCAGUGAGGAAUAUUGGUCAAUGGACGCAAGUCUGAACCAGCCAUGCCGCGUGCAGGAAGACGGCUCUAUGAGUUGUAAACUGCUUUUGUACGAGGGUAAACGCAGAUACGCGUAUCUGUCUGAAAGUAUCGUACGAAUAAGGAUCGGCUAACUCCGUGCCAGCAGCCGCGGUAAUACGGAGGAUGCGAGCGUUAUCCGGAUUUAUUGGGUUUAAAGGGUGCGUAGGCGGAAGGUUAAGUCAGCGGUCAAAUGUCGGUGCUCAACACCGGCCUGCCGUUGAAACUGGUCUUCUGGAGUGAGCGAGAAGUAUGCGGAAUGCGUGGUGUAGCGGUGAAAUGCUUAGAUAUCACGAAGAACCCCGAUUGCGAAGGCAGCCUGCCGCAGCGUUACUGACGCUGAAGCUCGAAAGCGCGGGUAUCGAACAGGAUUAGAUACCCCUGUAGUC